UACGAAGGGGGCUAGCGUUGCUCGGAAUUACUGGGCGUAAAGCGCACGUAGGCGGUCUUUUAAGUCGGGGGUGAAAUCCUGGAGCUCAACUCCAGAACUGCCUCGAUACUGGAAGACUUGAGUCCGGGAGAGGUGAGUGGAACUGCGAGUGUAGAGGUGAAAUUCGUAGAUAUUCGCAAGAACACCAGUGGCGAAGGCGGCUCACUGGCCCGGUACUGGCGCUGAGGUGCGAAAGCGUGGGGAGCAAACAGG
rnacentral:rRNA from 1 species